rnacentral:rRNA from 1 species
CAACCGGAAGGUUACUAAGACUGGAUAGGAAACAAAAAGGCAUCUUUUUGUUUUUAAAAGACCUUCUUACGAAGGUAUGCUUAAAGAGGGGCUUGCGCCACAUUAGUUAGUUGGUAGAGUAAAAGCCUACCAAGACGAUGAUGUGUAGCUGGACUGAGAGGUUGAACAGCCACAUUGGGACUGAGACACGGCCCAAACUCCUACGGGAGGCAGCAGUAGGGAAUUUUCGGCAAUGGAGGAAACUCUGACCGAGCAACGCCGCGUGAACGAUGAAGUAUUUCGGUAUGUAAAGUUCUUUUAUUGAAGAAGAAAAAGUAGUGGAAAAACUAUAUUGACGUUAUUCAAUGAAUAAGCCCCGGCUAACUAUGUGCCAGCAGCCGCGGUAAGACAUAGGGGGCGAGCGUUAUCCGGAAUUAUUGGGCGUAAAGGGUGCGUAGGCUGUUAGAUAAGUCUAUAAUUUAAUUUCAGUGCUUAACGCUGUCUUGUUAUAGAAACUGUCUUGACUAGAGUGAGAUAGAGGCAAGCGGAAUUCCAUGUGUAGCGGUAAAAUGUGUAAAUAUAUGGAGGAACACCAGAAGCGUAGGCGGCUUGCUGGGUCUUUACUGACGCUGAGCCCGAAAGCGUGCGUAGCAAACAGGAUUAGAUACCCUGUAGUCCCCCGCCGUAAACGAUGAGUACUAAGUGUCGGGGUAAAACUCGGUACUGAAGUUAACACAUUAAGUACUCCGCCUGAGUAGUACGUACGCAAGUAUGAAACUUAAAGGAAUUGACGGGACUCCGCACAAGCGGUGGAUCAUGUUGUUUAAUUCGAAGAUACACGAAAAAUCUUACCAGGUCUUGACAUACUCUGCAAAGCUAUAGAAAUAUAGUGGAGGUUAUCAGGGAUACAGGUGGUGCAUGGUUGUCGUCAGUUCGUGUCGUGAGAUGUUAGGUUAAGUCCUAAAACGAACGCAACCCUUGUCGUUAAUUGCCAGCACAUAAUGGUGGGGACUUUAACGAGACUGCCAAUUAAACAUUGGAGGAAGGUGAGGAUUACGUCAAAUCAUCAUGCCCCUUAUGAUCUGGGCUACAAACGUGAUACAAUGGCUGUGACAAAGAGUAGCUGAAACGCGAGUUUUUAGCCAAUCUCAAAAAAGCAGUCUCAGUUCGGAUUGAAGUCUGUAACUCGACUUCAUGAAGUUGGAAUCGCUAGUAAUCGCGAAUCAGCAUGUCGCGGUGAAUACGUUCUCGGGGUUUGUACACACCGCCCG